CCUGGAGGGCAGGGAGGAAACAGGGCCAGAACAAGAGGAAGCAUCAGAUCACUGACUCCUCCCAGCUCAAGAACUACCCCUGCAAGAAGUUCAGGAAGGGCACAUGCAACUACGGCGAAAAAUGCUGCUACUCCCACGACAUCCAGACAGAUGGAGAAAAGAUGGAGUGAUGCUUCCAUUCUUUUAAUUUCACUUUGUAAAAACUUAUCUUGUCUAUUUUUGUUUUGUUGUUUUUGGAAGGGGGGGGGGGGUUCAGUUCUAGUGGAUGACAUCACUUCAGAACUCUGGAAUAGAACCUUGAGAGGUUGUGUUCUGUGUUCCACUGCAUCAGGAAGAAGUACUGACCCAUGGAUGUUCGCAACGCACCACAAACGGCUACAGGAGACAUUUUAUUUCAGUUUUAUUUUAUGACUGUUGUAGCGGUCUAAUAAAGUCCUUAUGGCAA